rnacentral:lncRNA from 10 species
GAAGUCUUCCUGAAGAUCUCUGGCUCUCUCUCUCUCUCUCUCUCUCUCUCUCUCUCUCUGUAUAUCUCUCUCACCUCUAGUACUAUGUCCUGUGAACUCUACCCACUCGGGCAUCCUCAGACUCUUAGCUCUAUCUCUCCCACUCAGGAAGACUGCCAGACUGUCUGCAGUUCCCUGCCCUGUGACACAGUCUGGACACUUUUUCAACACAAUAAACUAGGGAAAUUAUUGGGCUCACUAUUUUGUUACCUGACUCCUGGAAAUAACUGUCCUUCAUUGACUGACAUUCAAUGUCUUGAGGGCCAUCCCUUCAUUGAUUUUGUCCACGUUUUAUUUGUUCGACAUGAAGGUAAAUAUCUAAAUUAUCUGUGGCAACAACUUGGUGGGGUCAACUCGAAUGUUUUUGUCGGCUGUUCUUGAAGACUUCUGGGUCUCUACAACCACAUUCUUUGGCUGGUGCCAGUGUUUAAGCACUCUGAAACUGCAUAGCAGCAUGUUUGAAGGUGGCCUGUCAAAUUUGGGAAACUGACGGUGUGACUGAGCUAGUCACAGGGGUCUUCACAGAAAAGGCAGUCGGGGUCCUGGUCAACUGGAGAUUCCAUCUGAAUGUGAAUGGAUUUAAAAGGUGACUGGAACACUUCUUUCUGACCUCAGAGAUGUGAUGGAUGUCCGGGAAGAUUUUCUCAAGGGCUAGAAGUUAAGAACUUUGUUCCUACUGUUUAUCUUUUUCCCUUUCAUAUUCAAGCCACUUAACCAUACUGAGCCUCAACUUUUUCAUUUAUAAAAUGGAAAUCAUUUUAACUUUUCUCUGGAGGACAGCUGUUGCCUGCCCAUCACUAUUUCCUCCUUUUCUGGUGACAACAUCCUACUUUCCUUCAAAGAAUAAUGCCUACCCCAUUAUAAUAACUUUUACACGGGGCUGUCCCAACACAUGCUGCCUUCAAGGCUAGGUGCAUGACACAGGCCUGGCCAAUCAGUGUGUCCAAUCCCUCUGGCCACUGUGAUUGGUCCAGUUACGGGUAUAUGAUGCAGAUCAAUCCAGUAAAACUCAACCUCGUGACUUUUACUGGAACCAUCAGUCAAGACGCCUUCUUUUUCUGUGAGUUUUCCAGGCUAGGAGAAGGAAAGUUAGAGCCCUGGGAUGCCACGUCAUGAGAAAAGCCUGCCAGAGAGCAAAACUAGCACAAAGGAAAGAAAGUAUUCCAAUAAAAGGGUGACGCUGAAAGCUGAAAUGUGAAUUUGUUAAAUCCUCAAAUAGCCAACAGCUUCUAGGACAAGAUCAUACACAGUUAGGACCUCGAUAACAAUUUGUUAGUGGAAUAGAUAAGAACAUUUUAGAUCCUGUUGCUCAAUUCUGAAAUGCUGCUCUGUGUCAUGAAUAUUGGUUUAUUUUCUUUGUAGAGUGAAGUCAUUAAGACUAGAGCUCCAGGCUUCUUCAUCCAACUCCAAGGGUUCCCAGCAACAUGUGAAGUCCUCUAUCUGUCACUAAGAAGCCGUAGCUUGGUGGCCUUCUACAAAUGUUUGUGGAAUGAAUAAGUGAGAGAAUGAGAGAUUAAUAAAGCCAAUACUAUCACCAGUCCAACGAAGAGCUGCAACUGAAAAAAAAGUCUGACAAAGUAUGAUGUACAUUGAAAAUGAAAAGAAACCAUUCUAUUCUUCGUGAAGUUAGACCUGGAUAGCUAUGUAUAGCUCUGCUCUCUGCAAUUUAAGAGAAAUAAUCUGGAAAUGCAGAAGAAAUAGGGAAAAGCACUUGUAACGUGCAGUUUUAUGUGUCAACUUGGGUAGGCCAUAAUACCCAGUUAUUUAGUCAAACACUAAUCUAGGUGCAGCUGUGAAGGCACUUUGUAGACGUGUUUAACAUCUAAAAUAAGCUCACAUUAAGUAAGAGAUUAUCCUCAAUAAUGUGGGUGGGCCUCACUGAAUCAAUUGGAAGUCCUGAGAGCAAAAACUGAGGUUUGCCAGGGAAGAAGAAAUUUGACCUCAAAACUGCAACAUAGAAAUCCUGACUAAGCUUCCAGGCUGCUGGCUUGCCCUACAAAUUUCAGAUAUACCAGGCCCCAAUCUUACGAACCAAUUUCUUAAAAUAAAUCAUGUAUGCGUAUUCGUUAAUAUACACACUCAUAUAAAGAACACACAUAUGUGUACAUAUAUGUAUAUGUGUGUGUAUGUUCUAUUGGUUUCGUUUCUCUUGAGAGCCCUCGCUGAUAGAGAUUUUAGUACCAAGAAGUAGGGUGCUAUUGUGUAAAUAAAUAAAUAAAUAAAUAAAAAUAUGGAAGUAGCUUUGGAACUGAAUAAUGGAUAGAGGCUGGAAGAGUUUUUAGGUGCAUGAUAGAAAAAUCUUAGAUUGCUUUGAAGAGAUUCUAAUAGAAAUGUCAGAGGCGUUUGAACCAGAGCAACUCCAUCUUUAACAGGGGCUGGGUAAAAUGAGGCUGAGACCUACUGCGCUGCAUUCCCAGGAGGUUAGACAUUCUAAGUCACAGAAUGAGACAGGAGGUUGGCACAAGAUACAGGUCACAAAGACCUUGCUGAUGAAACAACUUCCAAUAAAGAAGCUGGCCAAAACCCACCAAAACCAAGAUGGUGACAAAAGUGACCUCUGGUGGUCCUCACUGCUCAUUAUACGCUAAUUAUAAUAUAUUAGCUUGCUAAAAGACACCCUCACCAGUGCCAUGACAAUUUACAGAUGCCAUGACAACAUCAGGAAGUUACCCUAUAUGGCCGAAAAGGGGAAGGAACCCCCAGUUCCAGGAAUUGCCCACCCCUUUCCCA